ensembl:lncRNA
GAGAGAGAAAAUAUACAUUUAUUCUGUUUUGUUAUUGUUGCCAGUCGUGUCCAUGAGUAUUCAACUAGGCUUGAAAUGAUUUACAUUUCCCUCUCUCUGUAGUCACAAAGCUAGAAGCUGAGAGAGGUGGCCCCGAGUAAAGACUCAACAUCUGUCUGUGGUCAUGAAGCUGAGAGAGGUGGCCCCUAGUAAAGACUCAACAUCUGUCUGUGGUCAUGAAGCUGAGAGAGGUGGCCCCUAGUAAAGACUCAACAUCUGUCUGUGGUCAUGAAGCUGAGAGAGGUGGCCCCAAGUAAAGAUUCAACAUAUUUUUGCAAAUGUGCAUACUGUAUAUAUUUGUGUGUACACAUACAGUUGAAGUCGGAAGUUUACAUACAUUUAGGUUGGAGUCAUUAAAACACGUUUUUCAACCACUCCACAAAUUUCUUGUUAAACUAUAGUUUUGGCAUGUCGGUAAGGACAUCUACUUUGUGCAUGACAUAAAUUUUCCAUCAAUUAUUUAUAG